AAGAAGUAUGAUAAACGAACUGGAGGAUUAUUGCGCCUACCUUUUACCCAACUUGCCCUUCAUCAGCCUUUUUUUACCACAGAAUCUCUAACAAGGCUAGUCCAUGAAUGUGAGGCAAAUCUUGAGCUCCUAUUUCCAUUGCAUGCAGAAGUCAUUGAAUCUACUGCUGCUACACAAGGGCAGCCAAAUCCACCACUGAAUAAGUGUAACCCAGCAAAUAUCUCAUUCGAAUCAUCACGAACUCUUGGGGAUGACACCAUGGAUAUAUAUCGCAGUACCCUUGCUGCAAUGAAAGCCGUAAGAGGCCUUCAAAAAGCGAGCUCAACCUACAAUCCACUGUCUUUUUCAUCUUUCUUCAAGAACCAGGAUGAUGAAAGCAAUGGUGCUGUCACGACUGAUAACUCGGCUUCAAACUCUUCAGCCACACUACAUAAUGGAGACGAGUCUGAUCAAGAAGAUGUGCAUUCUGUCUAACAGCUUUCAUAUUUUUGGUGCAGUAUUCUAUAUCCUGCCUCAUAUACAUCUUCUCUUUUUGUGAAACAAAGAGUUAUCAAACAGUAAGUAAGAGACUGAAU
rnacentral:misc_RNA from 1 species